UACAGCCAUAUCAUUUUGAAACACUGGUUCUUGUAUGAUCAUUAAAGAUAAGCAACAUCGAGCCUGGUUCGUACCUAGAUGGGUAACCACUUGGGAAUACCAGUUGCUGUAAG